rnacentral:rRNA from 1 species
UAAUUUGCAGAGGAUGCUUUUGGCGAGGUGCCUUCCGAGUUCCCUGGAACGGGACGCCAUAGAGGGUGAGAGCCCCGUCUGGUUGGACACCGAGCCUCUGUAAAGCUCCUUCGACGAGUCGAGUAGUUUGGGAAUGCUGCUCUAAAUGGGAGGUAUAUGUCUUCUAAAGCUAAAUACCGGCCAGAGACCGAUAGCGCACAAGUAGAGUGAUCGAAAGAUGAAAAGCACUUUGAAAAGAGGGUUAAACAGUACGUGAAAUUGUUGAAAGGGAAGCGCUUGUGACCAGACUUGGGCCCGGUGAAUCAUCCAGCGUUCUCGCUGGUGCACUUUGCCGGGCCCAGGCCAGCAUCAGUUUGCCUCGGGGGAUAAAGGCUCUGGGAAUGUGGCUCCUCCGGGAGUGUUAUAGCCCGUUGCAUAAUGCCCUGGGGCGGACUGAGGUUCGCGCAUCUGCAAGGAUGCUGGCGUAA